GACGAACGCUGGCGGCGUGCUUAACACAUGCCAGUCGAACGGAAAGGCCCUGCUUUUGUGGGGUGCUCGAGUGGCGAACGGGUGAGUAACACGUGAGUAACCUGCCCUUGACUUUGGGAUAACUUCAGGAAACUGGGGCUAAUACCGGAUAGGAGCUCCUGCUGCAUGGUGGGGGUUGGAAAGUUUCGGCGGUUGGGGAUGGACUCGCGGCUUAUCAGCUUGUUGGUGGGGGAGUGGCUUACCAAGGCUUUGACGGGUGGCCGGCCUGAGAGGGUGACCGGCCACAUUGGGACUGGGAUACGGCCCAGACUCCUACGGGAGGCAGCAGUGGGGAAUAUUGCACAAUGGGCGGAAGCCUGAUGCAGCAACGCCGCGUGCGGGAUGACGGCCUUCGGGUUGUAAACCGCUUUCGCCUGUGACGAAGCGUGAGUGACGGUAAUGGGUAAAGAAGCACCGGCUAACUACGUG
rnacentral:rRNA from 1 species